ACUGCGUUGGCUCCUGUCUGGCAGUUAGCCAGCUUUUUCUCCCUAGCAGUAGGAAAACUUGAGCCUCAUGUCCGGGACACCUUAGGGUAGGGGUCUGGUGGCCCCUCGGUGGGCCUUCUUCAGAUUUUGUCGGUGGCUUUUUAUUUUUUUAGUUCAUGUUUUAUUUUUGUUUAUAUUAGAGAAAGAUAACACCUUCCAAAGAGGGGGGAAGCUCCUGAAAGUUUGUAGCUUUCUAAAAACGUGAGUAAUUCCGGGCUUGCUUGAUUCCACCCCUUCUGGACUUCCUUAUCCUGUUUGUGGGAAACCCAGAUGACUUGCUUUCUUUACUCCUGGGUCAGAGCCUCUUUGGAGUCUGUGUAAUUGGCUUUGGGAAUCAGGAAGAAAUUGCUAGAGGCUUUUUCACCAGUGGCUGCUGAAGUAGAAGAUUCUGGGGGAAAAACCCUCUUUGGGGGGGCCCAGGUUCUGCCUGAGAGAUUUCCAAGAUGACCAAGAUACCACCCAUCAAGAAGAUGCACAGUAUACCCAACGGAGCGGCCCCCUUUUAUGCCUCAGAACAUCUAACCCAGGUGCCAGACAAGCCAAUGAGGAGCAUCAAGUAUAUGGACAAGGAAAUAAUAAACCUCAAAAAAGACCUUACACGAAGCCGCAUGUUGAUUCAGUCAGUGAAGGCAGGCCGUGGAUACUUUGACAUGCUGCGAGAGGAGAGUGCCUUGAAAAAGAAGCAACAGCAACUUCAGAAACUCGAGGAGGAAGAAAGACAUAAAUUCCAGCCAGCCAAAAGGAUGUCAGAAAUCCAUUAUGGCGAACUUCUUUUAAACACAUACGAUGAUGAGAAGGUAAAGAAGAUGGGCGCUGGAAAUGUACUCCGCCCAUUCAUCCCCGUGCACAGCUGCAUCCUCUCACCCUCGCUACCUGAGGCUCGCGUGGAGCCCCUCUUCCGCCAGCUCUGUGCCCUCCACUGGCUUCUGGAGGCCCUGACUAUCGACCGCACCCGCCACACCAUGAAGCCUGUGAUCACCUGCUGGGAUCCAAAGUUUGUUUGUUUGUUUGAACAUAUAUUGGUGGCUGUUUCUCCACUUGGACCCAAUACUCAGUGCUCAGGUCCCUGGAAUGGCACAUUUUGCUCCAGGCCAAGAAAAAUUUUAGGUGUGUCUUCAUCAGAGGGGAAGGCUCAUGCAAAAGCCCCGAGGCCACUGUUGCAGGAACCACAUUGCACACACAAGGUGGAAGGAGGAACAAGCAGGGACCCGGGUGGAAGCAAGAAUACAAUAAAGAAAAUCAAUAAGGACAAGUCCAUAGAACAGAAGUGGGAGCACUUCGUCACAGCGCCUAAGACCAAGAAACCUCCUGUACUACGUGUCACCAGCGGCAAACCAAGCUGGCGCGGUUGCACACUCAGUCUGUCUCGGACCAGUGGGGGAUCAUCCCCCCAGAGCAGCAUGGUCUCCAUGAACCCUGGCUCAGAUGAACCCCUGAGUAUGAUCACCCAGGCAACAGGCAGCAUUGAGGACAAUGAUUCCUUUUCAACCAAGCCUGACGAAGAACUUCUCCAUAUCAAUUUGCAGAAGCUCCUGGAGAUGGUUCGGGAAGAUGCCCAGAGGACAGUCACGUUGGAAAAUAGGAUGCAAAAGAAAGCAUCCAGUAUCUUGCCAAUGAUCAGACAAAACAAGAGCGAUUCCACCAAUAAAGACAUACAGACCACCCACAAAUCAAGAUCCAGCAGUACAAGUGGAGAAAGCCACACUCAAAUCAUCCAGAAGAAGUCUAAAAGCUGCACCAACCAUGAUAUCAUCCAGUGCAAGAGUGGCGUAUGCAGCACCAUGAGGGCCAAGUUUUAUGGUGUGGCCCAGGAGGCUGGCUUCUGUCUUCAAGAUAAGAUGGAAAUCCUCAUGAAGCGCCAAGAAGAGAGAGUUCUCCAGAAGUUCCAUUCUUUCAACAUUGUCUCGAAUUUUGAAAAGGAUAUAGCAAAAAUGAGACAUCAAGCCUCCAUGAUAAAAGGGGAUGCAGAAGAAAUUGCAGACCACUGGUACUUUGAUCUACUGUCCAAACUCCCUGAAGAUCUGAAGAAUUUCCGCCCUGCUAAAAAGAUCCUGGCAAAACUGCAGAAGUUUGGAGAAAACCUGGACCUCAGGAUUCGGCCCCGUGUCUUCCUGAAGGUGCUACAGGACCUGAGGAUCUGGGAGCUGUGCUCUCCAGAUAUUGCUGUGGCUAUCGAGUUUGUACGUGAACACAUCAUCCAUAUGUCUCAAGAGGAUUAUAUCAACUGGCUGCAGAACCGGAUCAAUAGCCCUAUCUGAUCCCAAAGUCUCCGGGCAUAGUCUAGAACUGGGUCAACCAGCUGUCCCAGUGGAGGAGAACUAGACUACACUGUAUUCCUGCUUCUGGCUUAUUGUCGUGGAUACUCACUAGGAUAUAUGAGGGUCUGACUUCUGGCAACAUUCGAGAGAUGCCUUCACCUUACUCCUCCUCCUCAAAUUCUGGUUAAUAUAAUGAAGCUGAGUGUUUGAUGUCUGGCUGGGAAAGAGAACUGCUGAAUUUGGGUCUGUGAAGACAAGGAUUGAAUCUGCUUUAUUCAUCAAUAUAUUCCAAGCACAUAUCAUAGGACUCCUGACAUCAAAUGGAUAGAUGGAUGGAUAGAUGGAUGGUUGGAUGGAUGGAUGGUUGGGUGGACAGAUCGAUGGUUAGAUGGAUGGAACACCAAGUAUGCCUGUGAAAUGGAUACUGCUCUCUCUACACCACAGCAAUGUUCUCAGAAAACUUAAAAUCACAUUGUGGCACACAUUAUAAUUCUAUUGGACAAAUCUGAAUUAGAUGCCUGAUCCCAAAGGCCAGAAGACCAAUAAGGAGACUUUGAAAAUGCCCAAGAGAGAUCACAAGAGGAUGGAGGUUGAGUUCAUCACAGCAAGAAGAGGAGGGUAGACUUCUGCUUUGUUCCAAGAGAAUCACUCUUGGAGGCCUCUGAACCAAAGAAAAGGGAAGGAAAGGCUUAUUCUGUAAAGGUCUCUAUUGAGGGCAGAGACAUGACACAUCUCUCUGAAGAUACUUCAGAGGGCAGGAAGGCUUCUCCUAUCUCUAGAACAAACAGGGAGCUGGGUGUUCAACCUGGUCUUGGGGGACUGAUGGUGACAGGCACUGCUGACCAACAAUGUAGGAGUAGGAGACGAGUUGGAGUGCCCAUGAGGACAGUGAUAAGCUUUAGGAUGAGUGAAGUCCAAGUUAUUCUUUCUAUGAUAGAGAGUGGCAUUACAGCUACUCUUCCAAGAAAUAAGCAUGACUAUCCUCCUAAGAACAUUCUCCAUGAAAGACAAUUAUCAUAUGGUUUUACUCAUAUGUGAAAUAUAAGAAAUAGUGAAAGGGGCUAUAAGGGAAUGGAGGAUUAGAGAGGAAAACCAUGAGAAACUCCUAACUCUGGGAAACAAAGGGCUGCAGAAG